rnacentral:rRNA from 1 species
GGGAGAAAGAUUAUCGGUGAUUGAUGGGGCCGCGUUAGAUUAGCUUGUUGGUGAGGUAAUGGCUCACCAAGGCGACGAUCUAUAGCUGGUCUGAGAGGAUGAUCAGCCACACUGGGACUGAGACACGGCCCAGACUCCUACGGGAGGCAGCAGUGGGGAAUAUUGGACAAUGGGCGCAAGCCUGAUCCAGCAACGCCGCGUGAAUGAUGAAGGCCUUAGGGUUGUAAAAUUCUUUCGCUAGGGAAGAUAAUGACUGUACCUAGUAAAGAAGCCCCGGCUAACUCCGUGCCAGCAGCCGCGGUAAUACGGAGGGGGCUAGCGUUGUUCGGAAUUACUGGGCGUAAAGCGUGCGUAGGCGGAUUAAUAAGUUAGAUGUGAAAUCCCAGGGCUCAACCCUGGAACUGCAUUUAAAACUGUUAGUCUUGAGUUCUGGAGAGGUAAGUGGAAUUCCUAGUGUAGAGGUGAAAUUCGUAGAUAUUAGGAGGAACACCAGAGGCGAAGGCGGCUUACUGGACAGAUACUGACGCUGAGGCACGAAAGUGUGGGGAGCAAACAGGAUUAGAUACCCUGGUAGUCCACACCGUA